GACAGAGGGUGCGAACGUUGCUCGGAAUUACUGGGCGUAAAGCGCGUGUAGGCGGGUGAUCAAGUCAGGUGUGAAAUCCCCAGGCUCAACCUGGGAACUGCACUUGAAACUGGUUGCCUUGAGUGUUGGAGAGGGAAGCGGAAUUCCUGGUGUAGAGGUGAAAUUCGUAGAUAUCAGGAGGAACACCGGUGGCGAAGGCGGCUUCCUGGACAAUUACUGACGCUGAGACGCGGAAGCGUGGGGAGCAAACAGG
rnacentral:rRNA from 1 species